AGAAUCAACGCUGGCGGCGUGCCUAACACAUGCAAGUCGAACGAGAAAGGGUAGCAAUACCUGAGUAAAGUGGCGCACGGGUGAGUAACACGUGACUAACCUACCCUGGAGUGGGGGAUAACUGAGGGAAACCUUAGCUAAUACCGCAUAAUACCUACGGGUCAAAGGAGCAAUUCGCUUUGGGAGGGGAUCGCGGCCGAUUAGUUAGUUGGCGGGGUAAUGGCCCACCAAGACAGUGAUCGGU
rnacentral:rRNA from 1 species